rnacentral:tRNA from 1 species
UUUGUAUUAUUAAAAUUUAUUAUAUUAGCUUGAUAAGUUAAAGUUCUUUUGAUACAAAA